AUACGGAGGAUCCAAGCGUUAUCCGGAUUUAUUGGGUUUAAAGGGUGCGUAGGCGGCACUUUAAGUCAGUGGUGAAAGACGGCAGCUUAACUGUCGCAGUGCCUUUGAUACUGAAGUGCUUGAAUGCGGAUGAAGACGGCGGAAUGAGACAAGUAGCGGUGAAAUGCAUAGAUAUGUCUCAGAACACCGAUUGCGAAGGCAGCUGUCUAAGCCGUUAUUGACGCUGAUGCACGAAAGCGUGGGGAUC
rnacentral:rRNA from 1 species